ACCCUAGCCGCAACAACUCACUACAUUCAUUAUCUGUUCUCUCCUCACUCACUGCCCCAAUCCGCAAAAACCACCACUUCCUUAUACACCCGACGACAUAGCAGCAUCAAAACGACGGCUUCAAAAUUCUACUCUCUCAGGGUUAGCAUUGGGCCUUAACAACGACUAGCAAGUACAAGAAGGUAAAGGGUCAAGAAAGAAACAUGCCUCCUCAGUCAUCAGAUUGCAUCAUCUCAUCAUGGGAAUGUAGGACAAAAUUGGUUAUGAAGGGUGACCAUUUGUUUGGAUUGAAAACAUUAUGUAGUUAGAGCUGUUGUUGUGUGCUAUUCUUUUUAAAUGUUCCUUUGUUGGGUUCUUAUCUAAUAGAAACAGAUGCUGAAUUAGACCUUCCCUCAGUGUCAUCUUUUAUAUUUGACCUUCCUAGGAAAAGUGACUCAUCUUGUUCAGGUAGAAGCUACAUCUAUGGUUUCAACAGUACUGUUUAGAGCUAAAUCUUACUAUGACUUCUCAAAAAAAAAAAGAAAAAGGAUUAGAGCUGCGAUUUAUGCAAUCAUCCAUCACUGCUGUGUUUAAGUUACCUGCUGCUACUAUCCAUGCUAUUGAAAAAAUAAUCAAAAAUUUCAUUCGUGGCUGCUAUAUGAAAUCCAAAAAACUCCAUUUGCUGCAGUGGAAUAGAGUAGCUUGUCCAAAGGCUGAGGGGGUUUUUGGUAUUAGGAGGGUGGUUGAGCUGGACUGGGCUGCUAAGCCUCUAUUAGAAAUGUUAUCCAAAACGGCAGAUGGUGUAAACCAAGGUUUAUGGCUGAAGAAAUAAUUUGACAUUUGGAAUUUAGUUGUUAAUAUUCCUAUUAGACAAGGUUCAGAUUUGAUCAACUGCAAGCAUGGGAAUGCAUCUUCCAAGUCCUUCUGGAAGUGUUAUAGAAAUGAAGCUCCUAGAAAGUAUUGGGUUAAGUUAAUUUGGAAUGGUGGAAGACCAGCAGCUAGUGUGCACGGGCGGAGCCAGAAAUUUAAGGCCCCCCUCUACUCCGCCCCUGCUGCCUCCCUCUAGCUUGGCUUUGCAGAAUUAACUUUCCACCUUAUCAACCUUGUAGCAUAGAGGUAUUUGUGUCAUUCCUAUGUCACAAUUGUAUGAGGGAUGUUGAUAUUGGGGAACAUCUGUUUUUCAACUGCAUGUUUGAUAAAGAGACUUGGAAAUGGAUUGUUGAUCUAUUUAACUGGAAUUUGGACAAUAUGCAGAGUUUUGAUCACCUUGUAAAAUGGUUCAACAAUCAGUCAUACAUUAAUUCACAAAGUAGUAAGAUUCUGAGAUUAACCUUUUUUUUUUGUUUUUUCCUAAUGGUAGAUUCUGAGAUUAACCUUUACAUUCACCAUUUGGCACCUAAUGUGGUCUAGGAAUCAAAAGAGUUCAUGAUGAUAUUCAAUUUCUCCUUCUAAAGUUGCACGAUAGGUCAUUUGGAAUAUGGUUGACACUUUGGGGAUGCAUUUACAGGAUCUGGUGGGAAUUUUCACGUGCUGAUUAUAGGGAUUUUGAUGAUUGUUAUUGUAUUUAGAGAUGGGCUGGGUGGUUGUGUUUGUAAGAGUGGUUUGCUAGUUCUUUUGCUGGCUUUUCCUUUCUUUUAUUGCUGUUAGCUAACUUUUGGAAAUGGGAUUUUUUUUUUUUUUAUUCUUUUAUGUUUCUAAAGAGGUAUGCCUCUGUUAUUUUUGAGUUUGGUUGUUUGUUAAAAAGAAGCUUAGGAGAAAUAUAUAUAUACUAAAAUUGCAAAAAUUAUGUAGUAAGUCAGGGCUGCCAUGAUAUACAAAUUUGAAUGAUAACUUCAAUUCCCAACAAUGAAGUGAAAAGAAACUUCCAGUCUGUAUUUGAUUUAUAUAUCAACAACCAAAAAGCAGCCAUGUCACCAUGAUAGGAACACCUGGAACAAUUAUUCAUUCAGAAAUAUCUCCAAUAUGUGAUCAUUUGAGACAAUCAAAAGCUAAGAGACCUUGUAGCUGAGUAAAAAAAUAAGCCCAGAAGGAUUUAAAUUUACUAAGAAAGAAGGCUUAAAAAGGUAUAAUCAAAUCAAAAUCUAAGGAAUAUAUCGAUCAAAACAGUGGCUCAAGUCAACCCAACAAAGCUGUUAAUCUACAUAAAUCAAAACUGUGGAUGGGAUCAUCUACUUGGUUUCCUUCUAUGUGCAAGGCAUAGCCCUAUUGAGUAUUUAUUAAACAUAUUAUAACAAUCAGAAAACGACAUAUGAAAAAAAAAAAAAAAAAAAAAAAAAAAAAAAAAAUGGGUGACCAUUUCUGGACUAGUGGAUCGAAUAGUCUAGAAAAUCCAAGAUAUAUAUGCAAACCAGAAGUAGUUGUACAUAAAUGUCAAACUAUUUCAAGAUGCACUGCCAAGCAAGCAGAGAGAGUUUGCUUUAAUUAAUUCUUGGUGUAUUUUAAUUAAAAGUGUCCAUAAGAAAUAGAAGAAAAAGGAACAAUGGUUUGGGGGAACUAAAGACAUCAUGAAAGGGUAAGAUAAUAAUUUGGUCACUAUUUUUUCUUUUCUUUUCUCUCUUUUAUUUUAUCAAAAUAAGAACAACUAUUUUUUUUUCUUUUUCUUUUUUCUCCUAUCUAUCCAAACAUGAAUAGAAAUUAUUACUAUCAUUUCUUUUCUUUUCUUUCAUAACUAAUACUAUCAUUUCUUUUCUUUUCUCUCAUAUGUAUCCAAACACACCCUACAUUUAUUAUCUGUUAUCUCACUCGUUCCCUACCCCCAUCCGCAAAAACCAACACUUCCCCAUACACCCGACGACAUAGCUACAACUAAUCGGAAAAUCGAACCCACGGAUCGGGCGAGAAACAUGCCUCCUUAGUCAUCAGGUUGCUUUUAUGAAAGAAGCGAGUUGAUUGGAAUGGGUAGAGUAGAGAAAAAAAUAGGUUGCUUUUCUGAAAGAAGUGAGUUGAUGGGAAUGGGUGGAGUAGGGGAAAAAAUAGGAGACGCCUUUAGAACGUUCUGUUCACCCGAACUGGACUUACCAAGUUAAAUGCCAAUUAGUGAGCCGACAGAUGGCUUAAGGAUCAAAAACGGUUGGGGAACUGUUCAACCUUUUCAACCCAGAACCUCAUCCAUCUCCCGAUCCCUCACCAUCCUCUCCGCCGGCUUCUAUGAGUUUCUUCCGAAACUCACAGAGAACAAUAGUAGAUGCAGCGGCAUUUCGAACAAUCGUUGUGUUUUUGAAUCCUAUCCAGGCCGCUUUCCAACUCAUCAUGAGGGAAUCCCUUGAUUGUCGUUGCCCUUCCAAAGUCCACAGCUAGACUUCCCGAAUCUCGAUAAGCUCGAUAAGGAAGUUGGUGGAGACAGAUUUACACUAUGGACUCUAAAAUGGUUUGCUUAGACUAACGCUUUCAUUUCCUAACUUCUGUAAGUUUUUCUUAACUGAUUUUCACUACUUUUUUAAUUAUUUUUUAUGUUAUAUCUGUCUGAAUUGCAAGUUUUCAUAAAGAAAGGCUGUGUUAUGUAAAUUUUAUAGGGUUGUAAGUAAUCUGACCAUGUAGUACGGUGGGUUUUAAUAUUUGGGGUUUGUUGUUUUCAUAAUUUUGGUGAUUUGUGUUGUGACAUGCGGGUUUGGGGUUCGCAUAAUUUUCUAAGUUUACAUAUUUUCGGUUCAUAAUUGGAGGGUUUGGGUUUUAUUUUUUUAAAUUUUAUUAUUUCAUGAAGAUUGGAGUUUUUCAGCAAAUUUCUUUGUUCAAAUUAUAUAUAUACAUACAGAAUAUACAGAUUGACAGAGAGGGAGAGACAGACCACAUUAAGAGUAAAUGACUUAGAUUUUGAGCAUGGUACGUGCUUACAUACAUGGAAUGAUUGUUAUGCAGAUAAUUAAUCUGUCAAGCUUGAGUUACAACCAUCCGGUGGGAGGGCCUAAAUUUUUUUUUUUUACUUUUUCAUAAUAUGCCAACGAUAGACUGAAACAAAUAAAAAAAUUACACUGGAAUUCUUGGCCUAAGAUUAUUCCAUCUCCCGUGAACAAACUAAAAUAGUAUAUCAUCAUCCCCCCACAUCCCAUUCAAAUGAACAAAUUAUAUAUUAUUAUUCAAACAUUUUUUAUUUUUAUUUUUAUACUAGCAAGUAAUUCACAUGCUUACUUUUGUUAAGCAAGAAUUUGAAUUUCUUACCUUUUAUUUAGGAAGGUAGAAAAGAUCCAACUUAUCUGUAUGAAUAAUGUUAAAAAGACCAGUAGUUCGGGAGGAAUGAACCGGAAAUGAUAAAACAUUACUUUUACUUAAACAAUAGAAAAAUGCGUUUGAACUGUAACAAAAUGGUAAACUUUUUGUUAUUAAAAAAACAAUUCAAAAAAUUCUUCUAAGAACUAACUGAAGAUGCAAGCAAUACCCCAAAUUCCACGUCCAACCGAAAUGUUCUCCAAGUUUACUCCCUAUCCCGAUUACCUUAGACCCUUGGUCAAUUGUUUUUAAAGUUGGUUAGAGAUGCAGGUUAUAUUCAUUAUAUUAUUGUUCGGCAUCAUUUAGUCAAAAAGGUUUGAGCUUUUGGAUGAGUUGGUGGUUAAUAUAGUAUCACAUUAAACAGUUUGUCAUUUAUGAUAUCCUUAAUUUCAUCUACAGUAGUAUAUCUUCUUUGGAGGGAGAAAAAAUUCAUUCUUUAUUUUGAUUUAGGGGCCUUCAUCUUUGCAACUUCUUUUCCAUCGUUGAUUGCCCGUUGUUCAAUCUUUUUGAUGGGUUUUGUUUUAAAUUUUGUUUCUUGAAUGUUUUGUUUUAAUUUCUUGUGUGUUUAUAAUUUAUUGCAUUUUGCAUUGAUACAUUAGUGAUUUUGUACUUCACUGGCAGUUUGUUGGGUUGGAACUUGGAAUUUUAAUCUUUCAUUGGAUUAUUUUGCUGACAAGUAACUAUAAUCGAUAAGAGAGCAGAGAUGUUCAUUGUUAAUUUUCGUCGUAGAGAUGUUUAUAUUUGCGUUUUUUGGGGAUAAAUUUGAAUUGGUUCCAUUUAUAGUAAAUGAAGUGAUAGGUUGUCUUGGUUCAUGUUUUAUGUUACUUCGAUUAAAAUUUAGAAAUUUUAUUUCUAUUGCUUGCCACUGCUACUUUAGAAUUGGGGAAAUGAACGUAAAUCACUUAUUCAAGUGGCGAUUUGAAUUGAAGAGCUAUCUAAAUCAACAAGGACUAGAUGAGUUGUGCUGCACAAAGAAUUAUUUGGUCAAACAACAUUGUCAAUUAGAGACUUAGUUUUACCGAAUUUCUUGGUAAUUUGAAUUUGUUAGUUAUUAACAUGUAUACCUUUAAGACCGGCCUAUACUAUAUUCUGAAUUCUAGGUUACUUUGUACUACAUUGAAUUCUUUCUUGUGCUCAUAUUUUAUUUAUUUAACUUGCUGGAAAGUUUACAGGGGAUUGGGAAUUUAUAUAUAUAUAUACCUAGAGCAUGGAUGACACAUUGACACUAUUUUUUUUUUUUUUUCUCAUAGGUGAUAGACAAUUAGGCAUGCCCUUUAUUUUCUUGUCUUUAGCCCCCCUGACUUUGCAAUCCUAGCUCCUCCCCUGCACCCAACUCCAGUAAUCAUUAUGCAUAAGUCCUUACAGGGCAUGCACUAGUACAUAUUUUGUAGUAAGCACCAUCGACCAGUACAUCCAACUUAUGCACUCGUGCAUGGACUUCGAACUGGGAAAAAAAAAAAAAUCAUUAGAAUAAAUCCCCAAAUAAUAAUAAUUGUAUUUAUUGUUAUUUUUGCUUAAGGAAAUUUUAGGUAUUUCAUCAUUCAAAUAGAAAAUAUGUCCUUAUUUGGUCAAUUUGAAUGUAGUAGGCAUAUCAGUGAUAUUUUGGUAUAUUUUUAAUUAUCCAAAACACUACUGGAUGUCUCUCCUUUUUUCUAUUUUAAACACCAAUGGAAUGUCUCAAGUUCCCUAAUUCAAUAUUUUCUAUAUUUUUCUUAUUUAGUGUUAUUGCUUACAAAAAAAAAUGAAGAUGGAUGCUGGAUCAUUUUACAUACCCAAGCACCUGACUCCUCCAGGGCAGGAUAAUCAUUUCAUUUGUUCUGAGCAAAAAACAGUAGGAGUUGCAUAUGGCGUUGGUGGUUGGAGCAAGAAGGGUGUGGAUGCGAGCUAUUAUGCGCGAGGAUUAAUGGCUAAUACUGUGAUAGCAAUUUAUGAUCAAACCGAAGGACCUAUUGAUCCAAAGAGUGUCUUGAAUGAAGCUUUCUUAAAAACUUAGCUCAAAGGAUCCUUCACAGCUUGCAUUAUAACCCUCAUCGGCAAUAUAUGUCAUCCGUCCAUUUGCUCCUUCCUUGUUAUAAAUGUGCUUUUUUUUAUUCUCUUAAGGCAAAAGGAUAUAUUUUUAACUAAUUUGCAAUCUUUGUUUUUAAUUAUUGUAAAACUUGCAUGCUGCUAACAUUGGAGAUAGUGGAUUUUUGCUGCUAAAAGGUGGUGAAGUUGUAUACCAAUCACCAGUGCAGCAGCCUAGAUUUAACUGCCCAUAUCAGCUUGGAAAGAGCAAUGAUUCCCCCAGCUCAGUGCAGGAGCUCACUUUUUCAUGGUGUGGAAGAAGAGUACACCCCACAACAAUUAGCUUGGUCUCUAGCAUAGUUUGCUCACAGUUGUUCUUUCGACAGAUUAAGUUCUAGUCCAUUCGAAAUAGCUGUUGAAGAGGCAAGAAUGGAACACAUGGGAGGUAAAGUUGACAACAUCACUGUCAUUGUUGCUUAUAUCAGACCAAUGGACUGGUUCUUUCUUCAGCAACAAAACAAAAAGAAAAAGAAAAAAAAAAAAAGAAAAAAAAGAAAGAAAAAAAAAAAGGAAGAAGAAGAAUGCUAAUGCUAUGGAUAACACGACAUUAUAGGAGUUUUUGCAGAGAAGUUCCAAGUGAAUUUGUGCAUAUGAUUAAGUUGAUUCGUGUAAUUGUUCCAAAUUGUUGGUGAUUUACAAUUGCAAAAUGUAUCAAAUUACCAAUUUUUUUUAAUUGGAUGUGAAAUUUGUUUUAUGUGAUGGUAUGAUGAUAUAUUCUUGCCCA